rnacentral:rRNA from 1 species
UACGAAGGGGGGCUAGCGUUGCUCGGAAUCACUGGGCGUAAAGCGCACGUAGGCGGACUCUUAAGUCGGUGGUGAAAUCCUGGAGCUCAACUCCAGAACUGCCCUUCGAUACUGAGAGUCUCGAGUCCGAGAGAGGUGAGUGGAACUGCGAGUGUAGAGGUGAAAUUCGUAGAUAUUCGCAAGAACACCAGUGGCGAAGGCGGCUCACUGGCCCGGUACUGACGCUGAGGUGCGAAAGCGUGGGGAGCAAACAGG